AACGUUCACUUCAAUCGCAAGUCUUGACUUGAAGACCCUUGAGCUACAGCACUAAACCGAGGAAGGGCAAAACAUCGGGUCAUCCUUUCUCGUCGAAUCAGGGGAUGCCCGAUUUAGAGAAAAAACUUUUCCUUUGCUGCAGGGCCGGGCAUUCAAGCGCAGAGAUGGAGCUCUAUAUAGCUGCCACCUUCUCUCUUAUUAGGGAGUGGCUAAGCUUUCACGGCGAGAUCAAGUUGACACCAUGCCGAACAUCAUUGGAGAUGCCACCCAAGACUGAAAUGCUAAACCUCAAUAGAGCCAGAUCCCUUAGCUCCGGCCAACCUCAAUCAAGGGGUUAAAGAAGAGUGUUUGGGGUGCAUUUUUUUUAACAGAAUUUGAUCUCUUUUUCACUAAAUAUUUAUAUUCCUGUUGUUAUGAUAAUAAAUUUAUCAUAAAUUAAAUGAUUAUAAGCUGAACAUAUAACUAUGUACCGAUGGGAACUCCUGCUCAUAAACGAGUUGUAAUUUUAUUUGUUGAUUUUGGACAACAAUUACACGAAGGACCAAGUGUGGAUAAAUUGCCUGCGAGUUUUGUUGGAGUGUUGUAGAAGCGAGACUGACUGGCUAUAUCUGUCGGCCACAAAGCUUUUAUGCUAGCUGGGAAACAUUGAUUGUGAAUUUGUAAUGGUUGAUGCCAGCAUAUUUGCCUAUCUCGCAUUUGUUGUAGAGUUUCACGUAUAAAUAGAGAAUCUCAUG